CAUUCAGAUGUGCUUUAAAUAAAUCUCAGUUUUCUCUCUAAGCUUGUGAUCUAAGGAGUGAGACGUCUUGGUUUCCGAACGUCUCUGUGCCAGGUUCAAGGAUCAACGCUCAAGGCUCAAGGAUCAACGCUCAAGGCUCAAGGUAUCUUUAUUAGUACUAUUAGUUUUACUGACUCAGCUCAAGGUUUUUAAGAUACACAGAUAAUAGUUUCUGAAACGGCGACGAAGCAGCAGAGUGCUCUAUGCGUCUUUAUAUCAAAGCUACGAGAAGUUCAACAUGAGUUUGUCCUCAACAGAAGAUCUGAAGAUGUGAGGCGCCGGCGUUACGGACCGUUGAAGUUACGAGCCAACACUGCGGGUGACUCAUCUCUAUUUGGCAACAGCUCAUGGGAAGCAGGAAUUUGAUCCGCAUCCAAUGAACUGGAAUUCUGGUUAAUACUCAGCCUGCAUCGGUCCAUACAACCACGGGAAGGCGCUGGAUCUGACAUUCCUGCACAGAAACAACGAGCCUGCAGAAGGUCUGAUUGGCGAUGGUGCAUGAAUGCAUUUCAAACAUAGCAGACAAGAGACUCUUAACUCUUCUUAUUGCCUCAGAUAAACACCUGAGGGCAAACCUGUGGUGAAGAAACUUUAAGACCAUAGUCAAACUUUUAUACAUACCAGAAAUACAUUCAAAUCCAAAAAGGGAAUGUUGAGAGACAUGAGAUCUGUUGACAAGGUUCAUUGUUUUGGUUUUGUGUUGGGAAUCUGUUCAAGGCAUUUCAAUGUUUUUGUGUUUAAUGUGCUGCAUGUGGCUCCUAUCUUAGGAUCAGUUAGUUAUCCCCUCAUUGUUGGAUAUGAUCCACGGACAAUUAACCUCACUUUGGUGAGUCAGACAGACGAUAAAAAGGUGACACUGUGGCUGCCGUCUCGUCACAGUUGGCACUUUCACCAGCCAACAGUUUACUGAGCCAUUAACAGGUAGCAGGAAAAAUAAAUGAAUCAAGCAGGCGAAAUAGGAGGAAAAUAAAUGUGCUCAGUUCAGCAGAAAACACGUUUUUUCUGGAGCGCCGUCUCAAACAUGUGAAUGCACCGCCUGAGACGGUUUGGUUUCCUGUCAGAUCGAAAGCCUCAUGUCUCUAAUGACCCUAAAAGAGAUGCAGGAACACUUCAUUCCAAAGCCGAGCAACAGAUCUUGUGUCUGAUUCGGACUGCAGGCUCCGGGUUGUUCCAGGUCUUGUGGGAGGCUGGCUGCCUGACAGCUGCACAGCCACACAUUCUUGGACUCGGGGGAGUCUGUUGUGAAGUCUCAGCUCUGCAGACUUUCUCGUCCAACUGGUUGAUGCUCGAGUUUACAAAAACGUCCCUUUUCAUCCCAGCAGGAGCAGAGCCAGGAGCAGAGAGGAAGCAGAUAUAAUUAGCCAAGCUGGCGUUCCUCUUUUUCUUUUGAUCUGUUUGUCGUCGGGCUGCCACGUCUCCAAAUGUCUGCUAUUUGCAUGUAAAGCGUGUUAAAACAUCAGAUUCUCCUGCAGCAGGCACUUUGAAAUCACAUGCAGCUUAUUCUCUGACGGCCACCCACUCAUUCUCUUUGACUCUAACCUGCAUGAUGACCUGAACCACCUACAGACGCCGUCUGUCCCAGAGUACAUCACUCUCUGCAUUUAGUUCUCCUCUUUGAUUGUGACGCCUCGCCGCCCCUAUACUUCCUGCACGCCCCUGCACCAGAAUCUGAGGAGUGAAACCGAGAGCAGCGUCACCUCAGAGAGACGCUUUCUCUUCCCACGCUCCUCCAGGCACCAAGGGCAACGUUUACACGGCUGAGAUCUGUAACAGCAUCAUUUGAUUAACUUUGAAACAUCUUUAAGAAUCACCACAGACAUAAAAACACAGGAUCAACAUCCUGAGUCACAGAUCAGAAAGCCGCAACCUUUGUGAAACAUUUCCUUGAGGGGUUGUUUGUCAGUUUGUUUGUCUGUAUGUGAGAGUACAGUCAAACCAGAGUUGGUGCCGUAUGGCCUAGCGGGUAUGUCGCACACCCCAUGUACGGAGGCCGUAGUCCUCGUUGCAGUGGCCUUGGGUUUGGUUUUGACCUCUGACCUUUGCCACAUGUCAAGAAGUCAAGCGUUUAAAGAGGACAUAUUAUCCCCUUCUCCACCUUUUCAAACAGUCCCCUGUGGUCUAAAUGA